rnacentral:rRNA from 1 species
GUAGGUGGCAAGCGUUGUCCGGAAUUAUUGGGGCGUAAAGCGCGCGCAGGCGGUUCUUUAAGUCUGAUGUGAAAGCCCACGGGCUCAACCGUGGAGGGUCAUUGGAAACUGGAGAACUUGAGUACAGAAGAGGAAAGCGGAAUUCCACGUGUAGCGGUGAAAUGCGUAGAGAUGUGGAGGAACACCAGUGGCGAAGGCGGCUUUCUGGUCUGUAACUGACGCUGAGGCGCGAAAGCGUGGGGAGCAAACAGGAUUAGAUACCCUGGUAGUCCACGCCGUAAACGAUGAGUGCUAAGUGUUAGGGGGUUUCCGCCCCUUAGUGCUGCAGCUAACGCAUUAAGCACUCCGCCUGGGGAGUACGGCCGCAAGGCU